rnacentral:rRNA from 1 species
UACGGAGGAUCCGAGCGUUAUCCGGAUUUAUUGGGUUUAAAGGGUGCGCAGGCGGGAAAUUAAGUCGGCGGUGAAAUUUUGCGGCUCAACCGUAAAAGUGCCUUCGAUACUGGUUUUCUUGAGUGUGGAUGAAGUAGGCGGAAUUUGUGGUGUAGCGGUGAAAUGCAUAGAUAUCACGAGGAACUCCGAUUGCGCAGGCAGCUUACUAGGCCAUAACUGACGCUCAGGCACGAAGGCGUGGGGAUCAAACAGGAUUAGAUACCCCGGUAGUCCCU